AUAUAUAUAUUUUUGUAUAUAAUUUGUGUUAGUAGCAUGGCCAAGCAGAUGGUCACCCCUUCGAGUCUGGUCUGCUUGAGGUUUCUCCCUCAAAUCAGAGGGAGUUUUUCCUUACCACUGUCACCUGUGUGCUUGCUCUGGGGGGUUGGUAA